rnacentral:rRNA from 2 species
AACCGGAGCUAAUACCGAAUAACCCAGUGAACUGCAUGGUUCACUGGUAAAAGGCGGUUUCGGCCGUCACUCAUGGAUGGGCCCGCGGCGCAUUAGCUAGUUGGUAAGGUAACGGCUUACCAAGGCAACGAUGCGUAGCCGACCUGAGAGGGUGAUCGGCCACACUGGGACUGAGACACGGCCCAGACUCCUACGGGAGGCAGCAGUAGGGAAUCUUCCGCAAUGGACGAAAGUCUGACGGAGCAACGCCGCGUGAACGAUGAAGGUCUUCGGAUCGUAAAGUUCUGUUGUUAGGGAAGAACAAGUACCAGAGGAAAUGCUGGUACCUUGACGGUACCUAACCAGAAAGCCACGGCUAACUACGUGCCAGCAGCCGCGGUAAUACGUAGGUGGCAAGCGUUGUCCGGAAUUAUUGGGCGUAAAGCGCGCGCAGGCGGUUUCUUAAGUCUGAUGUGAAAGCCCACAGCUCAACUGUGGAGGGCCAUUGGAAACUGGGGAACUUGAGUACAGAAGAGGAGAGUGGAAUUCCACGUGUAGCGGUGAAAUGCGUAGAUAUGUGGAGGAACACCAGUGGCGAAGGCGACUCUCUGGUCUGUAACUGACGCUGAGGC